GCGACGGCCUAACACAUGCAAGUCGAGGGGUAACAUGAGUAGCUUGCUACUUGAUGACNACCGGCGCACGGAUGAGUAACGCGUAUGCAACCCUUCUUCAACAGGAGAAUAGCCCCCGGAAACGGGGAUUAAUGCCCCAUGAUGCUAUUUUAUUGCAUGAUAGAAUAGUUAAAGCUGAGGCGGUUGAAGGUGGGCAUGCGUGACAUUAGCUUGUUGGCGGGGUAACGGCCCACCGAGGCGACGAUGUCUAGGGGUUCUGAGAGGAAGGUCCCCCACACUGGUACUGAGACACGGACCAGACUCCUACGGGAGGCAGCAGUGAGGAAUAUUGGUCAAUGGACGCGAGUCUGAACCAGCCAUGUCGCGUGCAGGAAGACGGCCCUACGGGUUGUAAACUGCUUUUGUACGGGAAGAAAAUGUCUUACGUGUAAGACUUUGCCGGUACCGUACGAAUAAGCAUCGGCUAACUCCGUGCCAGCAGCCGCGGUAAUACGGAGGAUGCGAGCGUUAUCCGGAAUUAUUGGGUUUAAAGGGUGCGUAGGCGGAAUGGUAAGUCAGCGGUGAAAUACUGCAGCUCAACUGUAGUUGUGCCGUUGAUACUGUCAUUCUUGAGUAUAGAUGAGGUAGGCGGAAUGAGUAGUGUAGCGGUGAAAUGCAUAGAUAUUACUCAGAACACCGAUUGCGAAGGCAGCUUACUAAACUAUAACUGACGCUGAAGCACGAAAGCGUGGGUAUCAAACAGGAUUAGAUACCCUGGUAGUCCACGCUGUAAACGAUGAUUACUGGUUGUUUGGGCGAAAGAGCUCAAGCGACUGCGCGAAAGCAUUAAGUAAUCCACCUGGGGAGUACGUCGGCAACGAUGAAACUCAAAGGAAUUGACGGGGGCCCGCACAAGCGGUGGAACAUGUGGUUUAAUUCGAUGAUACGCGAGGAACCUUACCUGGGCUUAAAUGGGGAGUGACAGGGGUAGAAAUACCUUUUUCUUCGGACACUCUUCAAGGUGCUGCAUGGUUGUCGUCAGCUCGUGCCGUGAGGUGUCGGGUUAAGUCCCAUAACGAGCGCAACCCCUGUUGUCAGUUACCAGCACGUAGAGGUGGGGACUCUGGCAAGACUGCCGGUGUAAACCGCGAGGAAGGUGGGGAUGACGUCAAAUCAGCACGGCCCUUAUGUCCAGGGCGACACACGUGCUACAAUGGCCGGUACAGCGGGAAGCGAAGGGGAGACCUGGAGCGGAUCUCUGAAAGCCGGUCCCAGUUCGGAUUGUAGUCUGCAACUCGACUACAUGAAGCUGGAAUCGCUAGUAAUCGCGGAUCAGCCAAGCCGCGGUGAAUACGUUCCCGGGCCUUGUACACACCGCCCGUCACACCCCCCGAGUUGGGUGCACCCGAAGCCGGUGGCCUAACCCUUAAGGGGAGGAGCCGUCGAAGGUGUGCCUGGUAAGGGGGGGAAGUG
rnacentral:rRNA from 1 species